GGUGAGCUACCCCGAGACAGCCUAUAUUAAUUUAGGGCUAACCCGUCUCUGUGGCAAAAGAGUGGGAAGAGCUCCGGGUAGAAGUGAAAGACCUACCGAACCUGGUGAUAGCUGGUUGACUGAGAAAUGGAUAGAAGUUCAGCCUCGCACACCCCAAACCAAAAAAUAUUAUCACCAAGAUAUUAAGGGAAACGUACGAGAGUUAGUUAAAAGGGGUACAGCCCUUUUAACAAAGGAUACAACCUUUACAGGAGGAUAAAGAUCAUAAUGUAUAAGAUAUACUGUUCUAGUGGGCCUGAAAGCAGCCACCUAAACAGAAAGCGUUAAAGCUCGGACAGAAGGAAGUUUAUUAUACUGAUAAAAAAUCUUAUUCCCCUAGCUAUAUCAGACCAACCCAUGCCUCCAUGGAAGAGAUUAUGCUAAAAUGAGUAAUAAGAAGACCCGCUCUUCUCCCAGCACAAGUGUAAACCAGAUCGGACUGACCACUGGAACUUAACGAACCCAACCCCAGAGGGUAGUGUGAUUAACAAAAAACUCAAGAAGGCCUCACAUAACUAAUCGUUAACCCCACACUGGAGUGCUAUUUUAAGGGAAAGACUAAAAGAAGGGGAAGGAACUCGGCAAACACAAGCCUCGCCUGUUUACCAAAAACAUCGCCUCCUGCAACUAAACUGAGUAUAGGAGGUCCAGCCUGCCCAGUGACUACGGGUUCAACGGCCGCGGUAUCUUGACCGUGCAAAGGUAGCGCAAUCACUUGUCUCUUAAAUAGAGACCUGUAUGAAUGGCUAGACGAGGGCUUAACUGUCUCCCCCUUCCAGUCAGUGAAAUUGAUCUAUCCGUGCAGAAGCGGGUAUAAAUAUACAAGACGAGAAGACCCUUUGGAGCUUAAGGUACAAAAUUCAGCCACGUUAAACAACUCUAUAAGAAGCAAGAACUUAGUGAUAAUGAAAUUUUACCUUCGGUUGGGGCGACCGCGGAGGAAAAACAAGCCUCCGAGUGGACUGGGCCGAAUCCCUGAAGCCAAUAGAGACAUCUAUAAGCCGCAGAACAUCUGACCAAAAAUGAUCCGGCUAAAAGCCGAUCAACGAACCAAGUUACCCAAGGGAUAACAGCGCAAUCCCCUCCCAGAGCCCAUAUCUACGAGGGGGUUUACGACCUCGAUGUUGGAUCAGGACAUCCUAAUGGUGC
rnacentral:rRNA from 1 species